rnacentral:rRNA from 1 species
CCUACGGGAGGCAGCAGUGGGGAAUAUUGCGCAAUGGGCGAAAGCCUGACGCAGCGACGCCGCGUGAGGGAUGAAGGCCUUCGGGUUGUAAACCUCUUUCAGCAGGGACGAAGCGAAAGUGACGGUACCUGCAGAAGAAGCACCGGCUAACUACGUGCCAGCAGCCGCGGUAAUACGUAGGGUGCAAGCGUUGUCCGGAUUUAUUGGGCGUAAAGAGCUCGUAGGCGGUCUGUCGCGUCGGAUGUGAAAACCCAGGGCUCAACCCUGGGCCUGCAUUCGAUACGGGCAGACUUGAGUGUUGCAGGGGAGACUGGAAUUCCUGGUGUAGCGGUGAAAUGCGCAGAUAUCAGGAGGAACACCGGUGGCGAAGGCGGGUCUCUGGGCAACAACUGACGCUGAGGAGCGAAAGCGUGGGGAGCGAACAGGAUUAGAUACCCUGGUAGUCCACGCCGUAAACGGUGGGCGCUAGGUGUGGGGAACCUUCCACGUUCUCUGUGCCGCAGCUAACGCAUUAAGCGCCCCGCCUGGGGAGUACGGCCGCAAGGCUAAAAACUCAAAAGUAGUAGUACGACGUCGAGAGACGCGACGACGACGACGACGGAGGAGAG